GAUGAACGCUGGCGGCGUACCUAACGCAUGCAAGUCGAACGGGGAUGUUUGAUGUAGCAAUACAGAGGACAUCCGAGUGGCAAACGGGUGAGUAACACGUGGGUAACCUACCCUGGAGUGGGGAAUAACGACCCGAAAGGGUCGCUAAUACCGCAUGAGCACGGGAGUGCAAAGGCCUGCACGGUCGCUCUGGGACGGGCCUGCGGCCCAUCAGGUGGUUGGUGGGGUAACGGCCUACCAAGCCGAUGACGGGUAGCUGUUCUGAGAGGAAGACCAG
rnacentral:rRNA from 1 species